AUUGAACGCUGGCGGCAUGCCUUACACAUGCAAGUCGAACGGUAACGCGGGGCAACCUGGCGACGAGUGGCGAACGGGUGAGUAAAGUAUCGGAACGUGCCCAGUUGUGGGGGAUAACUGCUCGAAAGAGCAGCUAAUACCGCAUACGACCUGAGGGUGAAAGCGGGGGAUCGCAAGACCUCGCGCAAUUGGAGCGGCCGAUAUCAGAUUAGGUAGUUGGUGGGGUAAAGGCCUACCAAGCCGACGAUCUGUGGCUGGUCUGAGAGGACGACAAGCCACACUGGGACUGAGACACGGCCCAGACUCCUACGGGAGGCAGCAGUGGGGAAUUUUGGACAAUGGGCGCAAGCCUGAUCCAGCCAUGCCGCGUGCGGGAAGAAGGCCUUCGGGUUGUAAACCGCUUUUGUCAGGGAAGAAAUCCUUUGUGUUAAUACCGCGAAGGGAUGACGGUACCUGAAGAAUAAGCACCGGCUAACUACGUGCCAGCAGCCGCCGUAA
rnacentral:rRNA from 1 species